GAGUUUGUACGGUUUUAGCAUGCUCUAGAAUGCAGCUUCAAUUACAGCAGUCGAAUGAAAAUACCACCUCUAUCUUUUCCAGAUUUUCCAAAAGUUACCAUAGGAUAUUACUGUUUAUGUCCCUGGAUUCUUUGUUAUUUUGUGAAUGACUCCAACGUUAUGUCACGUAACAGGCUUAAGCAACUACUGAAAUUUGGCCAUUGAAGGAUUGGGGAUAUUGCCUAUCAGAAAGGAUCUCACCGGGUUGCAGUUGCUUGUGAUGAGGGAAUAGCCAUGGUUGAGAUAGUGUGCUGAUAGUGUGGAGCCUUAAGCCAAAUUCUAUGUCAAAUAAAACAGAUCCCGAUCUCUACAACUGUUACUUUCAAUUUGAAGUUCAAAUAAAAGUGCAUAUCGUUCUUUUGUCAA